rnacentral:lncRNA from 1 species
UGUUGUUACUGAGAUGUUUGUAUCUUUGCCAAUUAUACACAUUUUGAUGAUGUAUGUUAGAAAUUUAACACAAUUUCAACAGUAUAUAAUUAUUCAUAACUUAUGAUUAACCUUCGUUCUUAUUUAAAAAAUAAAUUUGUUGUUAAAUUGAACAUGUGUUAAUGAAAUUAUGUCUGUUCCAGAAAAUACUAUGUCCGCCCCUAAGGGACAGCCCUAAGCCCUUUUUAAAAAAAAAAUCCCAGCACCGAUAGAAUUAAAAAUUAAUAAGAACAACACUUCCUUUGCAUUUUGGUAUUUCAUACACAACCACCCCCAAAUAAAAUUUAAGAAAAGAGCUUUCCCUGGGGGAGAGGGGACAUAAUAUUUUCUGGAGCAACCAGUGGUUAUUCUACAAAUAAUAAUGACAAAUAAUUAAUAAAGGAAGUUUGGUUUCACAAUAUUGUCAUUUUUCAAUUAAUUUAAGAUAUGCAAAGGAUUCUACCUUAAUAAAUUUAGCAUGUACAUCGAUACAAC